ACCACUUCCCGAUCCAAAUCCUCGCUGACUCGGCUUGGAUCUCGUCCCUCUCGCAAGGGAACUACUAUAUAAAUAAUCCCCUUGCUCUUCUCUGCCGAUUUUUGGCAAAAUCCAUCGCUCCCGUGCCCUAGAACUCGCCGCUGGAUCUCACCGGAGUUCCACGCUGCAGAAGCUUUCCGCCGGUCGAUCCCGUCGCGUCGGAAGGGGAGCACCAAAUCGGGCACAUCAAGCUCGACCCAAAGCUCAACUCUGUCGUCCGCAUCACCACCGAGCCGCCCGUGGCCAUCGUCUUCAAGUCCGACCGCCCAGACUCUGUUCUCCGGUGAGCACAUCUCCCGCUCCGUGCGAUCUUGUUUCAACCGCCCAGACUAAGUGUUUUUUUUUUCUGUGAACCGGUAUACACUAAGUAGCGGCUGUCCGUUACAUAGGCCAUUACAGCAAACACCCUACGGCCACUCACACCAUGCCACUUGGCACAUCCACAGCCGCAACAGUUCUUCGAAGAAAUCUAUUUUGACACAUUGGCAGAUUCCAUAUCAAAUGUUCAUUUAGCAUGUUGUUCGCGCACGAACACGUCUUAUGUACCUCCAACGCCGAGGGUGAUGCACCGCAGCUCACGCUGAAGAAGACCCAUCCGUAAGCGCGGUACGCAAGCAAUUCGGCGGGCGCUUUUGAGCACCCGAAACCCCACGCGCCCGGGAGG